AUUUUCUGACUCCAAUCAACAGUCUUUAAAGAUUAAUUUCUUCAAAACUACUCAAUGGAUUUUUAAAAUCUUUAACUCAUUUUAAAGCUGAAAUAUAACUCUUUCUUAAUCUAUAUAUGAAUUUAUUUUUUGUUUGAUUAAUUUCAAAAUAUAGCUCAUGAAUUGCCCAAAAAGUGGCCUUCCAACUUGGAUGAAAAUGGCACAUUCAUGUCAAAUGGUAGUAAAAAUGUGUUUUCAUCCCUUUAAUCAACCAUAUACAAUCAACAAAACCGUGUCUUAGAUUUUUGAUAUAUUCCUCCAGUAAGAAGAUAUAUUGAUUUAACUGCUGGGUUCCAAACCUCAUUUCACCUUUCAUCUUUGAAGACCUAUAAAUUCAUUUAGAAACAAAUUAUCCAAAAACUGGGACACGGUAUUGUAGAAAAUUCACCCUUUAAUCAUAUAUAUCAGAGUCAGGCCAAAGGGGGUAAUCAUUAAGUUUCUAUUUUCAUUUUUUCCUUACAAUUCUCAGGUAAAUUGUUCUGAGAAAUGACCUAAAAACUGAAUUUCCCCCUUAGAACCCCUAUAAAGACAAUAUAAAUACAAAAAUUCCAUUGGGAACACCCCAGGAGUGUUCUGAUACCAUUACUAUAUCAAUAGAACCACACACUUUGUGUCUUUGAUGCUCUAAUGCUGUAAAUUUUGCAUUAUAUGUGAACUGUCCAACACUAACUUGGCAUUUGGCGGGAGUUUGACGUCACAGAUUUGACCAACAUCUGUGAUGUAGUGAUUAAAUAUAGACAAAGCUCCGCCUCUUUCCAGACAGUCUAAGAUAAGAGAAUAACAAGAUUGACCAGCUGCAUAUAAUCAAUGUUUAACAUCAUUAUUCUCUAUAUAUAAAGAAUAACUUUCAUUUGAAUUUAAAAAAAAAGAAAUAAACUGUCUGAAAUAAGCUAGAACAUUAAAAGUGUGCAUCAAAAAACAUGUUCAUAAAAAGAUCAAGAGUUAGACCACACUCGUCUUGAAAAUCCACUUUCCACAUGUUUUUUUUUUUUUAAUUUAAUGGAACUGACAAAUUACACAUAAACUGAAAAUUAGUUAAAAUGCAUAAAACUGUAUUUAAAUGAAUAAGACCAAAGAGAAGAUAUUUAUACAGAAAGUCAGAGGAUUUCAAAAAUACUUCCCCACUCUUUACCAUAUUAAUUUUAUUUCAUUUUUUGUAGAUUUUUUCCUUUUAGAUUUUUUCUUUCUCUUUGUUCACUUCCAUGUUAUAUAAAUUAUUUUUGUUGCAAAACAAUAAGAUAAGACUACAAUAUUUAUCUUUUGGUCAGGGAUUAACAGCUGGACACUGGUAUCAACAGAUGAUUGACAUAUUAGCCCCUCCCAAAUGCCUAUAUAUUUAGAUUAAUUACCAUGUGCUUUUAUUU
rnacentral:lncRNA from 1 species